rnacentral:rRNA from 1 species
UACGUAGGGUGCGAGCGUUACUCGGAAUUACUGGGCGUAAAGCGUGCGCAGGCGGUUUUGUAAGCCAGAGGUGAAAGCCCCGGGCUUAACCUGGGAAUGGCAUUUGGGACUGCAAGGCUUGAGUGCGGCAGAGGAGACUGGAAUUCCUGGUGUAGCAGUGAAAUGCGUAGAUAUCAGGAGGAAUACCGAUGGCGAAGGCAGGUCUCUGGGCUGACACUGACGCUCAUGCACGAAAGCGUGGGGAGCAAACAGG